rnacentral:rRNA from 1 species
GCUGGCGGCGUGCCUAAUACAUGCAAGUCGAGCGAACAGACGAGGAGCUUGCUCCUCUGACGUUAGCGGCGGACGGGUGAGUAACACGUGGAUAACCUACCUAUAAGACUGGGAUAACUUCGGGAAACCGGAGCUAAUACCGGAUAAUAUAUUGAACCGCAUGGUUCAAUAGUGAAAGACGGUUUUGCUGUCACUUAUAGAUGGAUCCGCGCCGCAUUAGCUAGUUGGUAAGGUAACGGCUUACCAAGGCAACGAUGCGUAGCCGACCUGAGAGGGUGAUCGGCCACACUGGAACUGAGGCACGGUCCAGACUCCUACGGGAGGCAGCAGUAGGGAAUCUUCCGCAAUGGGCGAAAGCCUGACGGAGCAACGCCGCGUGAGUGAUGAAGGUCUUCGGAUCGUAAAACUCUGUUAUUAGGGAAGAACAAAUGUGUAAGUAACUAUGCACGUCUUGACGGUACCUAAUCAGAAAGCCACGGCUAACUACGUG